rnacentral:rRNA from 1 species
UACGGAGGGUGCAAACGUUGCUCGGAAUCAUUGGGCGUAAAGCGCACGUAGGCGGCCCAGCAAGUCGGGUGUGAAAGCCCUCGGCUCAACCGAGGAAGUGCAUUCGAAACUAUUGGGCUUGAAUACUGGAGAGGAUCGCGGAAUUCCCGGUGUAGAGGUGAAAUUCGUAGAUAUCGGGAGGAACACCAGUGGCGAAGGCGGCGAUCUGGACAGAUAUUGACGCUGAGGUGCGAAAGCGUGGGGAGCAAACAGG